AGAGUUUGAUCCUGGCUCAGGACGAACGCUGGCGGCGUGCCUAACACAUGCAAGUCUACGAGAAAGGGGUAGCAAUAUCCCGUGUAAAGUGGCGCAAGGGUGAGUAAUAUGUAAGUAAUCUACCCAUGGGUUCGGAAUAACUCGUCGAAAGACGGGAUAAUACCGUAUAAUGCAGCGGCAUCGCAUGAUGAUGUUGUUAAAGCUCUUGAAGCGCCUAUGGAUGAGCUUGCAUCCGAUUAGCUAGUUGGUGGGGUAACUGCCUACCAAGGCUACAAUCGGUAGCUGGUCUGAGAGGAUGAUCAGCCACACUGGAACUGAGACACGGUCCAGACUCCUACGGGAGGCAGCAGUGAGGAAUAUUGGGCAAUGGACGAAAGUCUGACCCAGCAACGCCGCGUGGAGGAUGAAUGCCGUAAGGUUGUAAACUCCUUUUGAAGGGGACGAAAAAUUCCGAUAACAUCGGAACUUGACUGUACCCUUAGAAGAAGCCCCGGCUAACUACGUGCCAGCAGCCGCGGUAAUACGUGGGGCGAGCGUUGUCCGGAUUUACUGGGUGUAAAGGGCGCGU
rnacentral:rRNA from 1 species